rnacentral:tRNA from 1 species
UAGUCUUAUAAUCAAUUAUGAUAUUAAAUUGCAAAUUUAAAAGUAAAGGUAUCUUUU